AGUAGAGCUGCUGCUCCUCCGCAUUGAGAGGAGCCAGCUGAGGAGGUUCGAGCAUCUGACUCAGAUCCUUCUAUCAUUGAAGUUUAUGGUAGAAUAACUUUUCAUUUAUCUCCAUCUGUCAAUGGUCCAACCACAAUCAGUCACAGCCUUUUGCUCCUUGGCAGAAAACAUGCCAUGAUUAACACACUGAUCUUUUUAAAUGCACAAUUGUAACCAGAGACAACAAGCUAGGAACCAACAUAAAACAACUUUGAACUUAUAGGAAGUAAAUUAAACAGCUAAACAGUUAACUUAACAGCUAACCUGGGUACUUUAGAGAUCACAUAUAACCAAAACUUAAUGCAAAAUAAGCACUUAGUUCACUCUCUUCAACAUCUACACUUCUAUUUAUUUUCUUAAGUAGAUCACGGCUGCCCAAAGGUAGGCCAUUAGGACUUUUAAUUUGGCCCAACAGAAAGAGAAUAAACUCUUUUAUAUACUAUGUAUUACUUUCAAAAUAAUGAUCUUCAGGUUUUUGGAAAACACAAACAAUAAUAAACUAAUGUAUUUGAGUAGUAAUAUAAAGACCUAUAUUGUUUCACCCCGUAAAAUUACAGAAUAAACAGAUUUUUGUGUAAAUGUCCAACUUCAACAAAGUCCAGGCAGUGUCUUACAUUCCUUACUAAGACAGUGCCCCCUGCCUGGUGCCGUUUUUCAGCUCCCAGAAACGAGGAUUUUCCAGGUGCAAAGCUGACUAACAUUAACUGACUAGAUCGAGUGGAAAGGCGACUGGAGUUACGAUUGCAAAGGUCAGAAUCUGUUAUUUAAAGGUGAGAAGGGAUAAAAUGAGAUAAGCAACCUCACUAACAGUUAGUUGGAGUAAACUUUUUUCUAUAUUUCUGGGUUGAUCUGCUGAGUGAAGACACCCACGUUAGGUGAGCUUAUGUAGUUGGCUAGCAAGUUAGGUAGCGGCUAUGUUGCUUAGCAACUGCUCCCAGCAGCACACUGUAAACACAGUGACUGCCAGCUUCACAUCUGGACAUCUGUCUCACCCCAGCAGCGCACUUUAAACACAGUGACCACAUUUAACCCAUCCAUGUGAAACACCACAUACACACUAGUGAGCACACACACUAGGGGGCAGUAAGCACAUUUACCUGGAGCGGUGGACAGCCGUAUCCACAGCGCCUGGGGACCAGUUGGGGGUUAGGUGUCUUGCUCAAGGACACCUCGGUCAUGGACAGCCGGCACUGGGGAUCGAACCGGCAAAGCUUCCAGUCACAGGGCAAGUAAAAUUAAAGACUUAUUCAGAAUUAAAAUUAAAAGAUUGUUCAGAGUGCAGCAAGGUUAUCACACUGAAAAAUACAACAAUAAAACAUAGUUUUAUAAUACAACACAAAUCAUAGUCCGUCAGUUUGUGUAGUUCAGAGUGGGGCAGUAAUAAUUUUUAUUUGCUCAGUGACAUUUACUCUAGUAACACUCAGGUGGAUUUGUACUUUAUAGAAUAUUUUUAAAAUGUAUUAUUUGUGCUUUAUAUUAAUAAUCUACAUUUCCUCUGCUACAUUUUAGUCAGUAAUAUAUAAUGACCAGUUUGUUCAUUGUUAUACUUUGCUGUUAUUUUUUUGCUGCAUUUACCUCAUGUGUCUGUUUUGUUUUAGAUGUUUCUCAUCAGAAAUCAUCUGAAGCUGAGCAACUGUCCUUCCAAAGGAACAUCCUCUCUUUAGGCCUCAUCCAGUAUGGUGGCAGUCCGUAUCAUUGUCAACACUCCACUGUGCUCUUACCCAAGUGGCCUAAUCCUGAUGAUUCUUUCACUGCACUGAACAUCAGUGUCUGAACAUCAGCUAUGCGUGUGAGAUGGGUGCCAUGCUGGAGUUCAUGCAUAGAAACCACUUUUCUCAUCUAGCAGAGUGCUAAAGUUCCCCAGCCCUUUUUCUUUGUUACAAGAUGAUGUAAUCCCAUAACACAAUCCUUGCCCACCUACCAGCGAGCUCGGCAUUCCCUCACACAACACAAUGCAAUGCAUCGCAUUGUCCCUGUAUUGGCAGAACCACUCCGGCGCUUGACCAGUCAGAACCAGCAGGUGCAUUUUCCUCAUAUCGCUGACAAAGAAGACUAACACUGAGAAAAAAACAGAGGAAGAAGCGAUGGGCUGUGAAUCAGUUGUGACAGUUUUCUCCUUCAUCACGGAUUUAACUCUAAAAGGAGGGAUCGAUAACAGUAUUAGCAGUGUGAUACCAAUAAUGUUAGUGUUCAGGUGUUAUGUACAUCUGUUACCUGUUUGCUGUGUCCAUGUAUGUUCACAUAAAAUGUCCCUAGCUUGGCUCUAUUCCAGCACAUCUGUGUCUGUUAUUAAGUGUUUGACAGCUGAUCAUUGCCUAGCUCAGUUAUGUUCGGAGUGCUGCUACUACCUUUAGCACAACUUAUACAUAUCAGCAAACCUAAAAAACAGAUUCAUUUGUUUGUGGAACUGUGUAUUUAUUGCAGUAUAUUUAAAAAGUCAUUUAACAUGUUUUUCCUUGUCUGUAGAACAUAUCAAGUGUGAUGACGCUAUUGUACUAUGCAUAUACACAGUUGUAAAAACAAACAAUAAACAAUAACUGUAUUCUA